GGGAAUGUGGCUUAGCGGCAGAGUACUUGCCUCACAUGCAUGAAGCCCUGGGUUCGAUUCCUUAGUACCA
rnacentral:tRNA from 1 species